ACCCGUUUGUCAAUUUUUGAUUGUGAACGUCUGGCGUCAUUACCUAAGCUAUCAAAUCUCACCUUGUUAAAAGAUCUGGUAAUCAGAAGCUGUCGAGGUAUUGAUGUUUCCAUUCAUGGUGGAUGUUGGCCUCCCAAAUUGUGUUCCCUUGAACUAGAAGGGUUGAAGAAGCCCAUAUCAGAGUGGGGGGAUCUGAAUUUUCCAACUUCCCUUGUUCACCUAACGUUAUAUGGUGAACCCCAUGUGAGUGAUUUUAGUCAAUUGUCCCACCUUUUCCCUUCUUCUCUUACAACUUCGGCAAUAAUCGACUUUGAUAAUCUGGAAUCAGUUUCAAGGGGACUCCAACACCUCACAUCCCUUCAACAUCUGGCCAUUUUCAGCUGCCCAAAGGUGAACGAUCUACCAGAGACGCUGUUACCUUCACUUUUGAGUUUGAGAAUACUGGAAUGCCCAAAAUUGAAAGAAAGGUGUGAAGGAAGAGGCUCCCAUUACUGGCCCCUCAUCUCUCAUAUCCCCUGCAUCGACAAUUGAAGACUAAUUGAAAGAAAGUCACUGAAAAAAGAUUUCCUGUCGUGAAUACCAAAUCACCGACAUCGUACCACCAUCUUCACACAUCAUAUCGGAUUUAUAAAGCCACCACAGCUGUUCCGGCGACCCGUCAGUUAAAGAAAGAAUAAAAUCUAUCAAGGUUUCUUCAAAUCAACAAAACGGAUCCAAGAUACAUCAGAAUUGCUGGAAAGGGUACUACGUCUACUGCGUUAACUUGGUUCACUUACAUGCUUCAAACAUCAUGAGAUUCAAGAUAAGGUUGCAACAGAAAUCAAAGAAACAACAAAAAUGAGAAAC